rnacentral:rRNA from 1 species
AUUACCGCGGCUGCUGGCACGGAGUUAGCCGUGGCUUAUUCAUAUGCUAAUAUCUCUCCCCUCAUACUAUUCAUAUCAAGGGCACUGCUCACAUAUAAAAGAACUUUACACCCCGAAGGGCUUCUUCGUUCACGCGGCGUCGCACUAUCAGUCUUUCGACCAUAGUAGACUAUUCUCGACUGCUGCCUCCCGUAGG